rnacentral:rRNA from 1 species
UACGGGGGGGGCAAGCGUUGUUCGGAAUUACUGGGCGUAAAGGGCUCGUAGGCGGCCAACUAAGUCGGACGUGAAAUCCCUCGGCUUAACCGGGGAACUGCGUCCGAUACUGGAUGGCUUGAGAUCGGGAGAGGGAUGCGGAAUUCCAGGUGUAGCGGUGAAAUGCGUAGAUAUCUGGAGGAACACCGGUGGUGAAGGCGACAUCCUGGACUGACACUGAUGUUGAGGAGCGAAAGCCAGGGGAGCAAACGGG